rnacentral:misc_RNA from 1 species
CGCCACAAACAGGGAUGAUUAAUUUACUGUCACCACGCUCUUUGUGGACCUGGACCUGUAGGAGUACUCAACCUGUCUAGAACUGCGUUGAAGUCAACAGGUUGGCCACUGUCUUCCAUUCUCUGGAUUAUACUUGCAACAUGGUCACCCCUGAAACCCAUGCCAACCAGUUUUUCAAUUAGAUGUGAGUGACUUGGAUUCCUG